GAAAUCCCUCACAAUCAAGAGGGUCUUAAUGAAUCAUCCUCAUCAGAAUUAGAAGCAGUAAGAGACAACAGGGAAGUAACUUGCUGAGAAAUACAUCAAUGACAAGAAUGCAGCUCAUACUUGCAGCACAUCUAUUCUAUUCCAGAGAACCACUCCCACCUUUCUCCCGAUAGAGCCACCAAGACGGUAAGGAUCUGCUGAAACCACGGAGAGCUCUGCAAGGAGUCAAGACAUCAUAUUUUCUCAUUAACUGCACUCAGCAAAGUGAGCCACAUCUCCGUGUCACUUGUAAGAGUAAACCCAGUCAGGGCCCUCUGGGGACCCUGGGCACAAAAGCCUUGCUAUGUCCCUCAUUUCUUGUUUCUAGGAAACACGCCUUAUUCAGCUUCCAGGACCUUCCCUGAUUUUCAAAGGGCAGCUUCAAAUGGUUGCUAAUCAGGGAAGGGAGGGGAUGCAGAGACAAGGGAGGAGCAGUCAAGAAACACUAGUGUAGCCUUGGGGGCAGGGUUCUGGUUCCUCUUCAAG